AGUGUGAUGCCUGAUAAAAGGACUAUCUUGAUAGGAUAACUCAUGUGCUUAUAAACACUCUCACUA
rnacentral:tRNA from 1 species